GACGAACGCUGGCGGCGCGCUUAACACAUGCAAGUCGAACGGAAAGGCCUGCUUUCCCUUGUGGAUUGCGGGUACUCGAGUGGCGAACGGGUGAGUAACACGUGAGUGAUCUGCCCCCAACUUGGGUAUAAGCCUGGGAAACUGGGUCUAAUUACCGAUAGGACUGCAGGGUGGUGCCUGUGGUGGAAAACGAUUUUCUAGUGGUUGGGGAUGCGCCCGCGGCCUAUCAGCUUGUUGGUGGGGUAAUGGCCUACCAAGGCGGCGACGGGGAGCCGGCCGGGGAGUGUGGACGGCCACAUUGGGACUGAGAUACGGCCCAGACUGCGACGCGGGGCAGCAGUGGCUAAUGUUGCACGAGGGGGGGUAGCCUGACGCAGCGACGCGGCGUGUGGGAUGACGGCCUUCGUGAUGUAAACUCCUUUCGACCGCGAGGAAGCCACCUGGUUUGAAGGGUGGUGACGGUAGUGGUAGAAGAAGCACCGGCUAACUACGUG
rnacentral:rRNA from 1 species